AGUGAACGCUGGCGGUAGGCCUAACACAUGCAAGUCGAACGGCAGCACAGUAAGAGCUUGCUCUUACGGGUGGCGAGUGGCGGACGGGUGAGGAAUACAUCGGAAUCUACUUUUUCGUGGGGGAUAACGUAGGUAAACUUACGCUAAUACCGCAUACGACCUACGGGUGAAAGCAGGGGAUCUUCGGACCUUGCGCGAUUGAAUGAGCCGCUGUCGGAUUAGCUAGUUGGCGGGGUAAAGGCCCACCAAGGCGACGAUCCGUAGCCGGUCUGAGAGGAUGAUCAGCCACACUGGAACUGAGACACGGUCCAGACUCCUACGGGAGGCAGCAGUGGGGAAUAUUGGGCAAUGGGCGCAAGCCUGAUCCAGCCAUACCGAGUGGGUGAAGAAGGCCUUCGGGUUGUAAAGCCCUUUUGUUGGGAAAGAAAAGCAGCAGGUUAAUACCCAGCUGUUCUGACGGUACCCAAAGAAUAAGCACCGGCUAACUUCGUG
rnacentral:rRNA from 1 species